UUCGGACUUACCUAUGUUGGUAGAAUCAUCUCUCAAAACAUUUUCAACAACCUUACUUACCACCUCUAAAUCAUCAACAUCAUCAGAUUUGGUGUAAUUGGUCAACCAUGUUCAAACCUUUUGCCACCUUUUCGUCAUCAUAGAACGUGUAAUUAUCCCUCAAUGGUGGGGGCACCUGAGGAUAUUCUGAACCAAUACCUUUUUUGUUCUUUUCAGAAUCUUUGUCAUCUGGUGUGAUGUUGAAAAUACAUUCGAGAAUGUACGAAGAACUAUUAUAACUUUGAAGUUUUGUAACAAUCUUUUCUUUUUCAGCCAAUUUUUGUUUUAGUUUAGCAAUUUCAUCAAUACAUUUAUUUAACUCCUGUUGCUUUUCUUGAUAUUUGGCCUCAACAAGUCUUGUUGUUUUUAAACUUUCUGACAAUCUACCGUCCAUACAUUUGACUUGUCUUUUCAAAGUAUCAUAAGCUUGUUGUAUGCUAUUAUUUGAUCAUUUCAUUCUCUCAUAUUUUUUCUGUAAUUCUU
rnacentral:lncRNA from 1 species